UCAGAAGAGUAGAGCCCUGUCCUACAACUGGGCCCGCUGAGGUCCCUGAGAUAGAACACCAAAUCCCAGAAGUCCCUGGGAGUGUCUUUGUUGACAGACAGUCCUGUUCCAAUGACAGAGCAAGGUCUUGAGGGUCACACAGGUAAGUGGGUAUGCUUGUUAUGGUGAUAGUCUAUUGAAAUGACUAAGGCUUCAUCCAAAUGGCAACCUAUUCCCUAUGUAGUACAGGGAUUAGGGUGCCAUUUUGGACACAAGUGAAAAAUGAUUGGUGAUGGUGAUUGUGUGUUCCAGAGCACCACAGAGUAGAUGGCGAGGAGGCUCUGCUUCCUGUCACUCCAGGACUGCAGGAGGAGAUGAUGAGGAUCGACAACGUCCUGCCUGUUUUCAGGGUCUCCCCCUGUAGCCUCCUGGUCCUGGCUUAUCGACAAGCAGCACCCCCCAGAACCACACUGCACUGAUCCCCAAAACAUGCAGGAGGACAGCCUAUCGGAAGUUCUCUUUAAAGAGCUCCCGCCCUUCAGACUGAUGCUCCAUCUCCGCCCGCAAGAGGAGGUCCACGAUAACAGUGGACUACAAAGAGCUGUCGCUGCAUGCGAAACUGAGGCGUGGAGACAAGUUCACAGACACCAAGUUCCUCCGCUCUCCCAUCUUCAAACAGAAACCCAGGAAGUCCAUGAAGACCCAGCCGUCGUCACUGGAGAAAUACAAUUAGUCUUUUGUGGGAUGUCGCUAACAUGUGCUUUGUGUCCACACAUUGAACACGUUUUACCCAUUUAAAUGUGUUUGAGAGUUAGUGUGGCACCUGUGUUUGUGGUACAUUAUUUUAAUAGUUUAUAUCCAAUAAAAUAAUGGAAGGCAGCUUUAAUUGUGGUUCAUUUCUUAGUUGAUUCUUUGUUCUUAUCAGUAGGCUGAAUUUAGCCAAAUCAUCAGGGGCAUUAGAGAUGUUCAAGUAUAUCUCCCCAAAAUCUAUAUUCUCUCCAUGUCCCCGUUUCGUGAUGCCUGUAUUGAUUGUUAGCCACCUGUAGAGGGCGAUGUUAGAACAGCAUUCUGCCGGACGACAGGUUCCUCAUGUACUGUAUGGUUGUGUUCAGUCAGUUCACUGUUGUUCAUAUAUGUUUAGCUUGCAUUUUCUAGAACUUUGAAUAUUAAUUUGCCACAUGCCGCUGUUUUCAUAUGUAAGAUGUUUUGGUUUUAUGAAUAAACAUUCAGUCCAUGAUUCCUAUUCAGCUGAGCCUUUAAUGGCCCCGUAUACACUCAAGGUUGUACAUUAAAAGACACCAUCUGAAAUAUAAUUUGUAACCGGCAUUACUGUAGCAGCGUAGUGGCUUUACAUUAAUAGGCUGAAGUAUGGGGUUGCCCAUCUGCAGCUACCUUAAAAAACAAUGCAUCAAAUGCUACUUUCUACAAAUAAAUGUAACUUGUCACUCUGAUCUUAAAAAGCCUGUCUCGGCAGAAGUGUAUAUAUAAAUAUAUAUUCUUUAAAAAUAUAUAUUAAGUGGCGGGCCACCACUGUCAAAUUAAUAUAGGGCAAACAAAAAUGUUUAGGGUAGGGACGUCCCAAGGAUUCCAGAGAGCACUGACCCGCCACCCACUGACCUGGCACUAAGCUUUCAUCUAACCAAUUAAUUCGUCCCCAACUACCUCUCAGAAAGAUCUGAUCACGAGGGGCGCAUUCCUCUGCCCAGGGGUUACUGACGCCUGCCAGACCUUACAAUGCCUGGAUAGGUAUUUAAGUAUCAACUAAUCACGUUAUAGCAAUCUGUCAAUCGAUGACAGUUGAUGUUGCACGC
rnacentral:lncRNA from 1 species